rnacentral:lncRNA from 1 species
CGUACAACCCAGAGUACCAGGACGAGUCGGUGCUGUGGACCGAGAGCAAGGACGUCGGCCAUGGCUUCCGCUGCAUCCGCAUGGUCAACAACAUCUACCUCAACUUGGACGCCUUCCACGGCGACAAGUCCCACGGCGGCGUGCACGACGGCACCACCGUCGUGCUCUGGGAGUGGUGCAAGGGCGACAACCAGUGCUGGAAGAUCCUCCCCUGGGGCCCCGAGGCGUACGCGCCGCCGCCGCCGCCAGCAUACGGGCACCAGGCAUACCCGCCGCCGCCGCCCAACCGUGAACCUGGCCACGGCUACCACCCCGCACCUGCGUUCUACCCGCCGCAGCCGCCACCGAGCCACGAUGAGCCGGGCUACGGCUACCGUCCACCGCCGGUCGGACCACCCGGUGCAGGGUACGGCAACCGGCUGCCCCGCGCGCUGGCGUCGGAGCCCACCGUGCGCAUCCUGUGCAGGGCCGACGAGGCGUACAGCCUCACCGUCAGGAACGGCGCCGUCUGCCUUGCACCAACCAAUCCCAGGGAUGACUUCCAGGUUAUUUCCGUUGCAUACAAUUCCAUCUCAAAUUCUUAACACCGAUAGAUCAACUCCAUCGUGAUCUUGUCUAACUAUUCUAAUCAUGUUCAAAUCCGAUUUGCAGCACUGGGUGAAGGACAUGAGGCACAGCACGAGCAUCAAGGACGAGGAAGGCUACCCGGCGUUCGCGCUGGUGAACAAGGCCACCGGGGAAGCCAUCAAGCACUCCCUCGGACAGAGCCACCCUGUAUGUACAUACAUACAUACAUACAUCUUCUUCAUUAGAUAAUUAAUUCAGUCUGUUUCAUAUAUGUCAAAAAAUCAGUCAACGUAGUGGUUGGAGCGUCGUAGUAGUAGCAAUCAACGCUUACGAUUUCUGGAAUGGCGUCACAUGAUGUGAAUUUGUCGCAAAACCACUACUACACUAGUAGUUGAUGAUCUGACACGUUCGUCUGCACGCAGGUUAGGCUGGUGCCAUACAACCCGGAGUACCUGGACGAGUCGGUGCUGUGGACGGAGAGCAAGGACGUCGGCCAUGGCUUCCGCUGCGUCCGCAUGGUGAACAACAUCUACCUCAACUUUGACGCCUUCCAUGGCGACAAGGACCACGGCGGCGUCCACGACGGCACCACCGUCGUGCUCUGGGAGUGGUGUAAGGGCGACAACCAGCGCUGGAAGAUCCUCCCCUGGUGUAAGUAAUUAUCACCGAUAUAUAGCUUAAUUAGUCAGAAUCUUUCAACUGACAUUGUUUGGUUUUGUUCCUUCUGACGCAGAAAUCGAGAGACCGUCAACAAAAGCAUCGAUCGAUCCGUCACCUGUGCUUGCAUUUGGCACUGUUCGAGUUCGACCAUGCAUGCAUGUCGUGUUACUGUUGCGUGUCCUGUGUUUAUGUCACUGCAGAAUAAAUCAGGGUCUCGCUGUCAGCAGAGAUCAGAUGACCCCCUCCCUGCUAUUUGGUGUGGAUCCAUGCGUAUAUGCGCAUCUUUUGUACGAAGUUCUACUAGUUCAUGUCAUGAGAUGCCUGUCUACUCUGCCCAGUUUGCUUCUGGCGAGAUGAGUACUGCUCCGGUUUGAUACUCUACUACAGUACUAUGCGGUUGAUCUAUGUUUGGUACAUCUGCUUCGACGACUCAAUUAUGACAAAUGGUUAAUCCCAAUGACACCACACCUAAUACCCGCGAUUAAUUCCGCUAGCUAUAAAAGGCCGUGAGUAAUUAAGUCAACACUGAAGAUUAUUGUCAUAUUAUUGCACAGAGCAGGUUUGUUAAGAUCGUUGUGAUCAUAAAAUUAAAUCAAAAUUUCCGUGUAACAACGCCGCUCUUCGCGCCUUCCUCACCAGCUGCUCCAGGCCACUCCCUCCUGCGCUCCUCCCGCCGCCUUUGCCGCUGCCGCCUCUCGCCGCCAAGGCGGUGGAGGUUGUGCCGAAGUGCAGUGAGCGUAUCGCUGCUAAGAUGGCACUUGAGGCGCUUGAGGGGCCGAUCCACGCAGUGUCGCGCGCCCAGCGCAACCUGAUGCGGAAGCUCGGCCUAGUUCCGGAGAGGGGCCCGGUCACGGCCGAGGCGAUCGCGGCUUACAACGCCCUCUUCUCCAAGCCACUUUCCCAGGAGCACAUCAUCGCGCUCUCCUCGCUCUUCUCCGGCUCCUUGCCCCCGGGCAAGGCUGCGGAGGCGUUGGUCGUGUGCGGCUGAUCGGUUUCUUCUCUUCUACUCUCGGUGUGGUCCCCCUCAAUGGGAUCAUGCAAUGAGAACGUUUUGGUGUGGAACGUGCGAGGUCUGAACUCGCGUGCCCGCCCGGAUGCUGUGCGUGAUGUAGUCCGUGAUGAGCAUGUCUCUCUUCUCUGUCUUCAGGAGACUAUUAUGGAUGUAAUCCCCUCUCGUACUAUUCUGGAAAUGCUAGGCCUCGACUUUGAUUAUUCCUUCUUGUCUGCGGUCGGUCGGAGUGGGGGGUGUUGCUUGCCUGGCGGACGACUGUCUGGUCUGUCUCAGAUGUUCACCUUGCGGAUUUCUCUCUUACCGCGUUGGUUCGACACUCUUCUGAUGUCGCCCCCUGGUGGCUCUCCAUCGUCUAUGGGCCACAGGAGGAGCCUUACAAACUUCGUUUCUUAGAUGAGCUUCGUUCGCUGCGCUCCUCUCGCACGGGGCCGUGGGCCGUCGUAGGCGAUUUCAACCUCAUUCUCGAAGCUCGGGAUAAAAACAACCUUAAUCUCAAUCGUCGUAUGAUGGGUCGUUUUCGUCGACUCGUCGACGAGUUGGAACUCCAGGAGCUGCUGCUUCACGGACGUCGCUUCACUUGGAGCAAUGAGCGCGAGUCGCCUACGCUUGUUAAGCUCGACCGCGUCCUCUUCUCUGCGGAUUGGGAGGAGCUUUUCCCCUCUUGCCUCCUCCAAGCGGCCUCUUCUAUCACCUCUGAUCACUGUGCUCUUCUCCUUCAUACCUGCGUCACCUCCCCGAAAGCGCAUCGUUUUCGUUUUGAGGCCUUUUGGCCCAAGUUCGACGGCUUUCUUCAAGUCGUGCAGGACGCCUGGCAUCCCCCUACCAACCUACCCCCUCUUGCUGCUCUUCCCUGGUGCUUCUCUACCACGGCCAAGCGCUUACAGAGCUGGAGUGAACAUCACAUUGGCAGUGUUCGUCUGCAGCUUCAGAUGGCGAAGGAACUUGUCUUCCGGCUUGAUGUUGCGCAGGAGAGUCGGUCUCUUUCCCCCUUGGAGACCUGGCUGUGGCGAGAUUUAAAGUUGAAGUGUCUUGGUCUUGCCUCGCUUGAGCGUACUAUCGCGCGUCAACGUUCACGUUUGGUCUGGCUUAAGGAGGGUGACGCCAAUACCAAGUUCUUCCACCUGCACGCCAGAGCUCGUAGGCGGAAGAACUUCAUCACGCGCCUUCGUGAUGGUGACCAGCUUGUCGUCUCCCAUGAUGCGCUGCAAGAGCUUGCCUCCUCUCACUUUUGCGCCAUCUUGGGGACGAGCUUCGAGCGUGAACUCGCCCUAGACCUCCACUCUCUUGGCCUCCGCCCUGCGCAGCUUGAGGGGCUGGACUGUCCCUUCACAGAGGAUGAGGUCUGGGCGGUGAUCAAGUCCUUGCCCUCUGAUAAGGCGCCCAGUCCUGACGGUUUUACGGGCCGUUUCUACAAGUCUUGCUGGCCGGUGAUCAAGGUCGAAAUUCUGGCGGCCCUUAACUCCUUGUUCCUGACCAACGGCCAAGGUUUUGCUUCCCUCAACGACGCCCUAAUCUCCCUCUUGCCGAAGAAGGACGAGGCUGUUGAUGUUAAGGAUUUCAGGCCGAUUAGCAUUAUUCACAGCUUUGGGAAGCUGUUCUCCAAGAUCUUGGCCUCUCGUCUCUCCCCUCGCCUGGACGAGCUUGUGGCGCCUAACCAGAGCGCUUUCAUCAAGGGCCGCUCUCUCCAUGACAACUUCCGCUAUGUCCAGAUUGAGGCAAGGGCGCUCCACGCCAAACGCGUUCCCCGACUUCUUCUCAAGGUGGAUAUCGCGAAGGCCUUUGACAUGGUCAGCUAGCCUUUCUUGCUUGAGGUGCUAGCCCAGCUUGGCUUCAGUCAACGUUGGCGUGAUUGGAUCUCCCUCAUUCUCAGUGCCUCCUCUUCCCGGGUACUGGUUAAUGGGGUGCCAGGUCCAUGGUUCCCCCAUCGGAGAGGUCUUUGCCAAGGAGAUCCUCUUUCCCCCAUGCUUUUCAUUCUAGUCAUGGAUGUGCUCAAUGCGAUGCUCCGCAAAGCCUCUGAUUCGGGUGGUUUUCUUCCCCUCAAUGACCGUGCUAUUCGACAUCGUGCAUCCCUCUACGCCGAUGAUCUAGUUCUCUUCCUUUCCCCCGUUCGGCAAGACCUUGAGUUCAUCCAAGGCAUCCUCUCUGUCUUCGGUGCCGCUUCCGGGCUUCGGACCAACUUCACCAAGUGCUCGGUUACUCCGAUCCGCUGCUCGGUUCUUGACCUGGAGCUGGUUCAGUCCUCUUUUCCUUGCUCGAUCUCGGAGUUUCCCUGCACCUACCUCGGCAUUCCACUGUCAGUUCGCAAGCUGCCAAAAGCGGCCCUGCAACUGCUUGUGGAUAAAGUCUCCCAUCGGCUCCCCCCCUGGAAGGGCCGUCUAACCACUCUGGCGGGUCGCUCGGUUCUAGUCUAGUCGGUUCUCCGUUUCUAUGGCGAUCGGCUUGCCAAGCUGGGUUAUCAAAGCCAUUGACAAGAAGCGUCGCGCCUUCUUGUGGAUGGGUACAGACUCGGCCAAUGGGGGACAGUGCCGGGUGUCCUGGACGAGGGUUUGUCGUCCUAGGGAUCUCGGUGGACUGGGCAUUCCGGAUCUCAGGGUGGCUGGCUUUGCCUUGAGAGUUCGCUGGCUCUGGCUUCAGCGCUCGGGACACCCCUACUGGUCUGAUCUGAAGGCCCCUAUUGAGUGGAGUGUCUCCGACAUGUUCGCAGCAUCCACCUUCUCUAUCCUGGGAGAUGGUCAGUCCACGCUCUUCUGGACUGAUCGGUGGAUCGAUGGUCGCUCGAUAGCUUCUAUAGCUCCUGACCUCCUCCACGCCGUGCCUCCACGCUUCCGGGGAUCGCGCACAGUUACUGCUGGGUUAGCGAACAACUCCUGGGUUGGUGACAUACGUGGCGCCCUCACUGUCCCAGUCAUCUCUCAGUUCCUGUUAGUCUGGGACGCGGUGCUUCCUACCCAGCUCUCGCCGGGUGUUGAGGAUCACCUCGUCUGGCGUUGGACGGGUGACCAGUGCUACUCAGCGCGAUCGGCGUAUCAGGCGUUCUUCCUUGGCCAACACUCUUUUGCCUGUGCCGACUUACUCUGGCACGCGAAGGGCCCUGCUAAAUGCAAGUUCUUCCUUUGGUUUGCAUUUCAGCAGCGCUGUUGGACUGCCGAUCUUCUCCAAAAGCGUGGUAUCGAUAGCCACUCUGCUUGCCCCUUUUGUGCUCAGGAGCUUGAGACAGCGAACCACAUCCUCAUUGAUUGCGUGUUCGCUCGGCAGGUCUGGCUCCGUGUGUUGUCCCCUCCUGGCUGGGCUGCCCUCUCUCCCCCUCGUGGCAGUUGGCUCCAGGAUUGGUGGUCAUCCUCCAGGGUAUAUUUACCUGAGCACCUCCGCAGCGGCUUCGACUCCUUGGUACUCCUAGUCUCCUGGCAGCUGUGGAAGGAACGAAACUCCAGGGUUUUCGACUCUGUGCUCGCUUCGGUUGCAGUGGUUCUGGAGUCCAUCCGCUCGGAGGGCCAGCUGUGGUCUUUAGCUAGUGUUACUUUUUUUGGGGUUUUCUUGGAAAUGUAGCGUGGCUCUGCCCCCUCCCGCUGUUUGGAGUUGUGUUUUUAACCGUCGUAGUAGUUCCUAGCUUCAAGUCCCCCCCCCCUUUUAGGCAUAAGCCAGUCUGGCUGAUUGUUUUGUGUAACAAAAACUCUUUUCCUGCUAAUAUACUGACGUGCAAUCCUUUUGCGCGUUCGCAAAAAAAUUUCCGUGUAAGGCCAUAAUCAUAAAAUUGUAUAUAUACAUAAAAAUUGUAAAAAUCGUAAAAUCAGCUAACUAAAAUUUUAUAACAGAAUCGAGAUUUCAGAUUAAGGGCUUGCAAAAGUCCGAGUCUAAUGUUGUUGUUAAGAACUACUACUCCUAAGGACUAGAGACUUCUAGGUUGCCAUCAAGUCAGCCCAUCGUCAGUACUCUGCAGGUACACUACCGUUUGUUCGCAUGCCGAUGGGUCCAAUUCAAUUCUUAUCUUGGAAAAAUGCAGAUUGGUCUAACUCUUAACUCCCAAGCGUCCAAGUCUUACAUCACGGACGAAAUUAACAAUGUAGUGCUGUUUUUUCAACAAGGCCGAACAGCUAAACAUGAAGAAAAAAAAUGAUGAACUGCUCGUCCUCUUAUAUAUAGGAUUGGCAAUGCACUUUUGGGUGUGAGAUGCACACGCAACACAAUCAGAUUUAGUCAAAGAGCAGUUGAGCAAACCUACGUUAAUUAUCUCCAUAUGUGCACCAAAAACCGUCCAAACUAAGCAAACAGUUUGGAUUGAGAAGCUGAUGUAUCAAGUACAGACGAACAAUCUGCAUCUUCUCUUUGGAAGAGUAGACUAGUACUAGAGUAUAGACGGAGACAAGAAGCAAGGUUCCAAACGGGCCAAAAUUAGUGAAAAGUGUAAUAGGGCCCAUAUGUAUCAAGGGGUGGGCAUUUGGUCAGAUUGAAAAUUUUGAUCUUGAUAUCUUGAUAUCCUGUCUUUUUUCGGUUAGUUCGGUUAUUGAAAAGAGACUGGACAAUAGUAGAAAUUUAUCAAGACCACCAAAUUUGGUCUCGAUCUUGAUCAUGAUUAAAAUAAUCAGGAGAUAAAUUAAGAAAAUCACAAGAAAAUUAUCCAAAAUAAAAAAAAUCAGAGUGGAUGGGGGCUGGGGAGGCCAGGUUGCAAUCUUCGUCGAUAGCCCCUCAACCAACCACCGACUAUUGCAUGUGCCCUCCUGCUCCGCCGCCAUCUCCACCUUGUGCCCAAAUCAAGAAAACUGCUAGAGGGAAGGGGAUGACGGCUUGAUGUAUCGUCUUUGUUGGAGUCGAGGAGUAGCCGCCGGUACGUGCAGGAGUGGACAGAGAGGUUGAGGGGAGGCCAGCUGUAUGUCGCCAUCGUUGGAGUCGAGGCGCCACUGCCAGCAUGAGCAAGAAAGGAGGUCUGAGUAGAGGACUGGAGGGGAGUCGGAGGUAGGCUAUACAAUGGCGGUGUGGUGCGAGGAGGAGGCGCGAGCACAACGCGAUGGUGCUGAGGCGAUUCUUGUUGGGCGGAGGGGGAGGGGGGCGCUGGCUUGGUCAACACGCGAAGGCAAGAAGAAGCGGGUGACGGCGACGCAACAACCAAAAGGCCGGGGUGGCAGGGUGGGUGGUGUGGAUGUGGGGUUUGUUGGGACUUGGAGGGGUGGAAAAUUAGAGUUUCUCUAUCGGGCUUAGUGGGCUUAUAGGGCUUAGAAGGUAUUUCGGUUGAUUCGGUCAACCGAAGCCCAUGACCGAACAAAAUUUGGUUAGUUCAGUAUAGAUACCGAAAUUCUCGGUCUUGGUAUGGUCAGUUUAGCUUGGUCUUUGGUUUCAGUUUUUUCUUGCUUACCCCUAAAUACAUCCAUUUUUUCCGAACAAAUAUGGCCCAAGUUUUGUUAUUGGACCUCCACUUCGUAAUAUGAAUGGCCCACCUAUUAGCUGUACAUGACGACGAUGAUCCAAACAUUCAGUACGUGAAUUUCACCAGCCCAAAACAUCCUUCCUCAAGAGAAAAUGAAGGCAUCAUUGAAGCUGCUUUUUUUUUCUUUGCUAAACACAUGCUCACAGCCUCCGUGCACCCACAAACAUCCUACCUUUACAGACUGUGCCAAUAUAAAGCACACCCAAAGAUUGUGCCAAUAUAAAAAAGCACUCACGGUCUCCUUGUUGAUGAAUACGUCGUCUACAAAAAAAAAAAAAGAGUCUACCUGUAGCGCUAUCGAUCGAUUUUAAACAAAAAAACUAUCGAUGUAACUCGGGUGUAAUUACAGCCUAGUUAUACUGUGACUACACUAUAAGUAGUACUUCCUCCAUUUAUAAUGUAUGACGUCGUUGACUUUUCAUAACAUUUGAUCGUUCAUCUUAUUCAAAAUGAUUAUAUAAAUAUUAUUGUUUAUUGUGAUUUGUUUUAUCAUCAAAUAAAAUAUAAUCUUACCUUAUACUUUUACAUAUUAUUUUUUAAUAAGAUUAAAUGUUAUAAAAAAAUCAAAGGCGCUAUACAUUUUGAAAAGAAGGUAGUAUGUAAUUGAGUUCAAAACUUUAAAACACAAGGCAACACGGUGCCAUGCGAAUGGAAAGGUCAAGGUAUCCAUUUCCGUUCUAAUUUUAAAAAUAAUUAACCAUAAAUAGUACUCCCUUCAUCCCAAAUAGAUUAACCAUAAAUAGUAUGUUUAUACACCAAGAACAAGAAUAAUUUAAAUCGCAUCAAUAAAGACACCAUACACAUAUUCUUUCACAAUACAUGCAUCGAUUAAAAUACCAUGCCAAUUACAUUUUUAGCAUGCACACAUUCUCUCUUGCUACAUUAGUUGUAUUCCGAUGAAAUUCGUGUCCAUGCGCACGGUUAUAUGAUGAUUAAUUUAAGAAAUUUUAAAUUUUAUUAUAUGAUAAACAAUAUGGGAAGGAGGGAGUAAUAUAUAUUAGUAACCCUUUGCGAAAACAACAUUUUUUCUUAAACCGAGCCCCUGCUAAAAUGCUUUUGAGCUAGGGAUUGUUGAUCCACAUCCACAUGGCACUUCAUGAGAUAAGCACCCUUGUUUUCGAUUAUGACGAGGGAGAUAUCAUAGAGUAAUACUUUUCUCGUCUAAAAAACUUAACCUAGAAGAGGUUACAUCCUAAGACAAUAAAUCUGAACUAGAAGAGAUCAGUAGGUUGAGUUUUUUUUAAGGGUGGAGGGAGUAUACGAGCAGGGUGGCAAAACGUGUGCCUACCUGAGCUAAACCCACACACCCAUGAUCCAUCCAGUCCAGAUAAACCCAGCCAAGCUUAGCUAACAGAUUAGAUUAGCCUUUUUAUUUUCUGUUGAAAUCGUCAAGGUUGGUUUGUGGAGUACUAUACUAGCUAGACAGGACAAAAGUGUUCACCUAAUCACACCAAGACAAUAAUAAAUUCACCAUUACCAAUUUAGCAAAUGCAACAUCAUCUGCUCCAACGUCCACAAACUCCACAGGACAACCUACACAUAGCAAUUACUACUCCUAAUUGUAAGGUGAGUUUAAGGACAGGCUUCACCUACUCCUCUAAAGUUAUCACUGGUUAUUUAUAAGCUCUCUACAAAAGAUCUAUGUCAGUAUAUUUUCCUACUUAGAAGGUAUUAAAUGAAGAGAGAGAGUAAAGCUAUCUACUAACUUAGAGAUAAUCUAUAGAGAAAAACGAGGCAAUGCAUGAGAGAGCUAUAGAUACAAAUGUAGACAUACUAUUAAGGUGGUUUACUAUUAAUCGAGUCUAUUGCUGAGAUGUAUAUGUUUUAUAGAGAGUACCUUAUUUUACCAUUGCGGGAGCUAUAAGGGUAGAACGGUUGAAACAACGGUACUAUACUACUACAAACCAGCAACGCGUUGCUAUCUGCACAGCACUCCAAAUGUUCGCGAAAACUUGACUUGUUUUCGUUUGAGAAAGUUAAAGAGUCGAAACUUUUCAUCCUGACAAGUUGAGAGAGUAGUACGUGACAACAAAAAUCAAAGGGAGAUGCAUGUAGCUAACCCGUUUUCUGCCUGCUGCAUUGUUGUUAAGCACAACAACAAAGCUUAAGCCUGUAAAAGCAUUGCAAAAGGCAGGCGACGCGUCGAUUAAUUAGGUGUUGAAAUCUGGAACGUUCUUGGCCAUACAGGCGCUGCGUGGCCGUGAUAUAGAGCAGCUUGCCGGGUAAAAAGAUUAUUCUCUUAUCAGUUAACAACUUUUUUACCACCUUUCAUGCAUCAUGCAUCAUUCAGGUCAGAUUAGAUGUGCUCAUUGGAAACGGACAGGGAUGAUCGAACCAUCCAUCCAUGGGCGAUCCAUGGUGAUUCAGAAAAGUAAAACUGCCUUUGUUUCUUGUGUAGCACAGGGAUGCAAACGUACAAAACGACCGUCACAAGGGUCAUCUCUAGCUGGAAUCACAUCUCUUAGCUUGUUUUAUGGAUUUGCGUCAGGUGCACGCUUCAAUCCUGGGCCACGGCAUGCAUUUCGAUCACCUCGUCCUUCGUGGCGACAUACCUUUCGAUUUUGGGGAAAACAAUGGUCGAAAUUCCCGGACAAUGGAAAGCGAGCAAGCAGCAUCUCUCUUUGUUCUUUUCUUAAGCAAAGAUUGUUUUUUUCCCCUUAAUUUUUAUUUCGGGUGAAAGAGUUUAUGCUUUUCUGAAAAAGAAAGUGUUGUUUUACAAGUUGGAAGGGAUCCACAUUCUCUAUCAUAAUGGCAGCACUACCAUUACAAGCACUGACGUGUGGAACAAUAGGAGUAUAUGACCCACAUACCUGUCACGGUAAUGGUAGUGAUAUUAUGUUAUCCGGUUGUAAGAAAUCAGGCUGCUCCAAAAAUACUCAAUGAAGUUGGUGUACUGCUCUAGUCUUCCACUGAGUAAGUAGAGCAAUUAACUGUGCACCAGUAAUCAAAUCUUUGCAUUUACUCGCACAUUUAGUAAUGCAAAUCUCAGCACAAUGAAUUACUGGUACUAGCAUCCAAGUCAAGUUCAUGGAACCGAAUCUGAGAGUACAUUAAACACCAAAGAUAUAUCAUAUCAUAUCAAAUAUUCAAAUCAAACGGCUAGAAUGCAAAACAUACACGCACGCAUGUCACGCGUUUGAGCCAGUCGAGGACCACCGGUGGGCCCAGCUGUCAGCGAACGUGGGAGUUGGCACAGGAGAGCGCGUCAUCGAGCCGAGCCGAUCGAUCAGUGGGUGAGGGUGAGAGUGGCCGGCCUUGGCCUUCUAUAAAACGUGGCACCUCUCGCUCCUCCUCGCAUCAUCGCUCGCAGUCGCAGCACAAAAACAUUUCUCUCGCGAGUCGCGAGUUGCACCGAUCGAAUUAAGGGUCGAAGAUGUUUGGGUUCGGGCACCACCACAACCAGGCACCGGCGGCGCCGUCGGACCCGAACCAGAUCUUCAAGAUCUUCUGCCGCGCCAACGAGAACUACUGCCUCACCGUCCGCGACAGCGCCGUCGUCCUCGCCCCCGUCAACCCCAAGGACGAGCACCAGGUCAGGUCCCCCUUCUUAUAUAUGCCUUUUCUUUUGUUUCUAUAUUCGAUCGGAUUUUGAUGUAUACUGAAAUGGAAUGAAUUGAAAUGCAGCACUGGUUCAAGGACAUGAGGUUCAGCACCAAGGUGAAGGACGGGGAGGGCAUGCCGGCGUUCGCCCUCGUCAACAAGGCCACCGGACUCGCCGUCAAGCACUCCCUCGGCCAGUCCCACCCCGUAAUACUAUAUUUCUAUUUUGCUGCUAGCUUUGUGCGUGCUGCCAU